rnacentral:rRNA from 1 species
UACGUAGGGUGCGAGCGUUAAUCGGAAUUACUGGGCGUAAAGCGUGCGCAGGCGGUUUUGUAAGCCAGAUGUGAAAUCCCCGGGCUUAACCUUGGAAUGGCAUUUGGGACUGCAAGGCUAGAGUGUGGCAGAGGAGACUGGAAUUCCUGGUGUAGCAGUGAAAUGCGUAGAUAUCAGGAGGAAUACCGAUGGCGAAGGCAGGUCUCUGGGCUAACACUGACGCUCAUGCACGAAAGCGUGGGGAGCAAACAGG